UUCGAAAGACAGAAAGAUAAAGCGAUUCACCUUUAUCCAGGCAGGUAAACCAUCAAAGAAGCGAUUCACCUUUAUCCAGGCAGGUAAAACCAUCAAAGUGUCUUCUCUGAGAUGCCACAUUAUCCAGAGACCUUCAGCUGUCGCUCCAGACUAUAUACAGAGAAAGAAUGUUAACUGAUGGACUGGAGUGCUGUGGAUUACUUGUGGAUUAUUGUGAUGUUUUUAUCAGCUGUUUGGACUCUCAUUCUGACGGCACCCAUUGAUGGACUGGGAUGAUUUGGGAUUUACAGAGUCUCUCUAGGAUUCCCAGCUCUCGGCUAAAACUGUAAUGAAAGGAAAACCAUUUUUUUGCUGAGGUGCUUUUACCUGCACAGAGAGGAAGUUGACCCUCUGCAGUUCUCAUCACAGUAUGGUAAUGUGAAGAACAGAUGUGAAGGAAAACAUCUGUGCAAUGUAUAAUCAUGAGCGUUUUUCUGUUGGAAAAUCCAGCCUAAGCUGCUAACUGGGCCAUCUUAAACCAGCUUGCUCCUCAGUGUUUACCAACAUCCAUAUGCUUUUCUCCCAACAGGAUCUGUAAUAGAAAGCCAGCGUUGGGAUGCCCCGUAUGUUCCCGCUGGACAGGAAGUCUGGGGUACA
rnacentral:lncRNA from 1 species